GACGAACGCUGGCGGCGUGCUUAACACAUGCAAGUCGAACGGAAAGGCCCUGCUUUUGUGGGGUGCUCGAGUGGCGAACGGGUGAGUAACACGUGAGUAACCUGCCCUUGACUUUGGGAUAACUUCAGGAAACUGGGGCUAAUACCGGAUAGGAGCUCCUGCGGCAUGGUGGGGGUUGGAAAGUUUCGGCGGUUGGGGAUGGACUCGCGGCUUAUCAGCUUGUUGGUGGGGUAGUGGCUUACCAAGGCUUUGACGGGUAGCCGGCCUGAGAGGGUGACCGGCCACAUUAGGACUGAGAUACGGCCCAGACUGCAACGGGAGGCAGCAGUGGGGAAUAUUGCACAAUGGGCGGAAGCCUGAUGCAGCAACGCCGCGUGCGGGAUGACGGCCUUCGGGUUGUAAACCGCUUUCGCCUGUGACGAAGCGUGAGUGACGGUAAUGGGUAAAGAAGCACCGGCUAACUACGUG
rnacentral:rRNA from 1 species